UGCUCCGAAGGAGAUGGCAUUCCUCCCACCAAACCGCCGCGCAAGUCGGCUAAUGAUGCCUACGUGAUC
rnacentral:ncRNA from 2 species